AAAAGAAAGAGAAGGAACUACAGGCUAAGGAGAAUGAAUUGCGAAGGAGGGAACAGGAACUGAGACGAAAAGAAGAGGCUGCUGCAAGAGCUGGCAUUGUUAUUGAGGUGAAAAAUUGGCCUCCAUUCUUCCCAAUUAUCCAUCAUGAUAUUGCUAAUGAAAUACCAGUUCAUUUGCAAAGGCUGCAAUAUGUUGCGCUUACUACCUUUUUGGGAAUUUGUGCUUGCCUUUUGUGGAACAUCAUUGCUACCACUACAGCAUGGAUUAAAGAAGGAGAUGUAAAGAUCUGGUUCCUUUCAAUUAUUUACUUCAUAUCGGGGGUUCCAGGAGCCUAUGUACUGUGGUAUCGUCCUCUUUAUCGUGCUUUCAGAAAUGAGGGUGCUAUGAAGUUCGCGUGGUUUUUCUUGUUUUACUUGCUUCACAUUGCAUUCUGCAUCUUUGCGGCUGUUGCUCCUCCAGUAGUUUUCCGCGGAAAAUCACUUACAGGCAUUCUACCUGCAGUAGAUCUCAUCGGCAAACAAGUUCUUGUUGGGAUUUUCUAUUUCAUCGGUUUCGGGCUAUUUUGUCUGGAGUCUG
rnacentral:misc_RNA from 1 species